rnacentral:rRNA from 1 species
CACCGCCGGCCCCGCGCCACCCACACCCCAUCCCAACCGGAGCCUCCGCCCCCGCACCGCUCGCACCCCGCCCCAACCGGCGCCGGCACUGCCACCCCAACGGGCAUCGCUGUAGGCCCACCCCAACCGAGCGUGCCGCCGAUGGUUGCCUCGCACCCCGACCCUGGAGGGCACCACGCGCCUCCGCCGGGCCCUGCCACCUCUGCUGGCUCCCGCUUGGAUCCGGUGAUGCCAUCGACCAUCGGAACCGAUGCCGCUCGCACCCCGGUCACCUCUGCCGCUAGCACACCACCGUUGCGCGCCGCCGAUGCAGGACACAUACUGAUGCUCUGUUGCUGUGCCGCGGAUGACCAAGAGUGACCUUAUUCCACCUCCCCAAAAGCCGCCACUCGGGACCCCCGCACUCAGGCCCUCCCCUUGCCGCCGCAAACUUCUCCCCUACCACCGUGACCUUCUUUCCCUUGCGCCGCGACCUUCUUCCACCUUCCUCCUCCACCCUUCGGUCGUGAGGCAACGCACCAACUAGCCAAAUGGGUCACCGCCCACCACCCGCACGCCAUCCAACACAGAUCGAUACCAGGCAACAUGAGAUAUCCCUCCUCCCAACGCGUCUCUACCAUCCUGCAGGUAU